AAAGGCAGAGGGAACUAUUGAGGUUAAAUUUAGUUUAGCAGGAGGAAGGUGGAGGCUUAAGAGAACCCAUCUUAAACAUUUACAAAGAUGUAACCUUUGAUCCUGUCGUCAGUUCCGGAUCCCCAGUUUUGGGUGUUAAGUCUGAUGAACCCGUUGAAAACAAUGAUAUUACAAAACGAAAUGGAGAUCCUGAUGCAAAAGGACACAAUGAUGUCACAAAAAGAAAUGAUAUGCAACCACAAGAACAGAGGGUAAUGGAUAAGAAGAUCAAAGAGAUGAAAGACCAGCUGAUACGAGCCAAAGCUUACUUGAAUUUUGCAUUGCCAGCUGGCAAUACUUAUUUAAUAAAGGAAUUACGGUUACGAGUCAAAGAACUAGAACGAGCCAUGGGAGACGUUGGAAAAGAUUCUGAUCUG